rnacentral:rRNA from 1 species
UACGGGGGGGGGCAAGCGUUUGUUCGGGAAUUACUGGGCGUAAAGGGCUCGUAGGCGGCCAACUAAGUCGGAUGUGAAAUCCCCAAGCUUAACUUGGGAACUGCAUCCGAUACUGGAUGGCUUGAAUCCGGGAGAGGGAUGCAGAAUUCCAGGUGUAGCGGUGAAAUGCGUAGAUAUCUGGAGGAAUACCGGUGGCGAAGGCGGCAUCCUGGACCGGCAUUGACGCUGAGGAGCGAAAGCCAGGGGAGCAAACGGG